rnacentral:rRNA from 2 species
UACAUGCAAGUCGAGCGAAUCUGAGGGAGCUUGCUCCCAAAGAUUAGCGGCGGACGGGUGAGUAACACGUGGGUAACCUGCCUGUAAGAUUGGGAUAACUCCGGGAAACCGGAGCUAAUACCGGAUAACAUUUUGAACCGCAUGGUUCAAAAUUGAAAGACGGCUUUUAGCUGUCACUUACAGAUGGACCCGCGGCGCAUUAGCUAGUUGGUGAGGUAACGGCUCACCAAGGCAACGAUGCGUAGCCGACCUGAGAGGGUGAUCGGCCACACUGGGACUGAGACACGGCCCAAACUCCUACGGGAGGCAGCAGUAGGGAAUCUUCCGCAAUGGACGAAAGUCUGACGGAGCAACGCCGCGUGAACGAUGAAGGCCUUCGGGUCGUAAAGUUCUGUUGUUAGGGAAGAACAAGUACCAGAGUAACUGCUGGUACCUUGACGGUACCUAACCAGAAAGCCACGGCUAACUACGUGCCAGCAGCCGCGGUAAUACGUAGGUGGCAAGCGUUGUCCGGAAUUAUUGGGCGUAAAGCGCGCGCAGGCGGUUUCUUAAGUCUGAUGUGAAAGCCCACGGCUCAACCGUGGAGGGUCAUUGGAAACUGGGGAACUUGAGUGCAGAAGAGGAGAGUGGAAUUCCACGUGUAGCGGUGAAAUGCGUAGAGAUGUGGAGGAACACCAGUGGCGAAGGCGACUCUCUGGUCUGUAACUGACGCUGAGGCGCGAAAGCGUGGGGAGCGAACAGGAUUAGAUACCCUGUAGUCCACGCCGUAAACGAUGAGUGCUAAGUGUUAGAGGGUUUCCGCCCUUUAGUGCUGCAGCAAACGCAUUAAGCACUCCGCCUGGGGAGUACGGUCGCAAGACUGAAACUCAAGGAUUGACGGGGGCCCCGCACAAGCGGUGGAG